UGACAGUGCCUUCUUUUGGAGAAGAGGGGGAGGACAGUUUAUACCUUCAGUUCACUGGAGCUACUUGAUUGCAGACUAACUGAAUGGUCUCUGGAAAGAUUAGGCAAGGCUGCAGGCAUCAGCUACCUCACCACUCUCUGCCUGGACUACACAUGCAUGGGACAGGAAGGGUUGAAAGGUUUGCUGACUGGUGGUUGGGGGCCAGUCAAAUAUCUUCCCUGAGUUUGUGAUAUUGUGGUUGGAGUUCAUGGAGAGGAGCUCUGCUAGCUUUACUCCUCACCAACAAUUCUGUGAGGGAGGUCUACAUCAAUGGCAAUGAGCUGCAGUGUGUGGGGGUGCCACUGAGUUGCUGAAACCUGUGGCUGAAAACAGCCAAAAACUGGCAGUGAUCCAAAACAGGUCCACAUCUAUCACAGUAUAGUUAAGUUCUCCUGUUGCCUGACCGAACUGGAUCUCGGUGAGAAUCACAUCGGAGAGGACGGUGGGAAAGUGCUUUUAGAGGCCCUGAGAGACAGACAAGUAGUAAAAAUUCAGGUGUCAACACGCAUGUCCACAGAAACACUGAGUGCCAUUAUGAAAAGUGCAAAGGAGCUUAAAUCUGGGGAAA
ensembl:lncRNA